AGCGAACGCUGGCGGCAGGCCUAACACAUGCAAGUCGAACGAAGCCUUCGGGCUUAGUGGCGGACGGGUGAGUAACACGUGGGAACGUACCUUUUGGUUCGGAACAACUCAGGGAAACUUGAGCUAAUACCGGAUGAGCCCUUAGGGGGAAAGAUUUAUCGCCGAAAGAGCGGCCAGGGUUAGAUUAGCUAGUUGGUGAGGUAAAGGCUCACCAAGGCAACGAUCUAUAGCUGGUCUGAGAGGAUGAUCAGCCACACUGGGACUGAGACACGGCCCAGACUCCUACGGGAGGCAGCAGUGGGGAAUCUUGCGCAAUGGGCGAAAGCCUGACGCAGCCAUGCCGCGUGAAUGAUGAAGGUCUUAGGAUUGUAAAAUUCUUUUACCAGGGACGAUAAUGACGGUACCUGGAGAAAAAGCCCCGGCUAACUUCGUGCCAGCCGCCGCAGUAAUAC
rnacentral:rRNA from 1 species